AAGUCGUAACAAGGUUUCCGUAGGUGAACCUGCGGAAGGAUCAUUAAUAGUCCAUACUACGUCCUACACCUGUGUUGCUGUCGUUAGUACUGGCGCCUUGGGGGUCCUGGCUCGGCCAAGGCCACAGGCGCCGGCAACAACCUGCGAAAUAAAAAUUGUAUACGUGUAACGAACCAAUAACAAUACAACUGUUAGCAACGGAUCACUUGGUUCUC
rnacentral:misc_RNA from 1 species